rnacentral:rRNA from 2 species
UGGGGAAUAUUGCACAAUGGGCGCAAGCCUGAUGCAGCCAUGCCGCGUGUAUGAAGAAGGCCUUCGGGUUGUAAAGUACUUUCAGCGGGGAGGAAGGGAGUAAAGUUAAUACCUUUGCUCAUUGACGUUACCCGCAGAAGAAGCACCGGCUAACUCCGUGCCAGCAGCCGCGGUAAUACGGAGGGUGCAAGCGUUAAUCGGAAUUACUGGGCGUAAAGCGCACGCAGGCGGUUUGUUAAGUCAGAUGUGAAAUCCCCGGGCUCAACCUGGGAACUGCAUCUGAUACUGGCGAGCUUGAGUCUCGUAGAGGGGGGUAGAAUUCCAGGUGUAGCGGUGAAAUGCGUAGAGAUCUGGAGGAAUACCGGUGGCGAAGGCGGCCCCCUGGACGAAGACUGACGCUCAGGUGCGAAAGCGUGGGGAGCAAACAGG